rnacentral:rRNA from 1 species
UACGUAGGUGGCAAGCGUUGUCCGGAUUUAUUGGGUUUAAAGGGUGCGUAGGCGGCCCUGUAAGUCAGUGCUGAAAUAUCCCGGCUUAACCGGGAGGGUGGCAUUGAUACUGCAGGGCUUGAGUAAAGUUGAGGUUGGCGGAAUUGACGGUGUAGCGGUGAAAUGCUUAGAUAUCGUCAAGAACACCGAUAGUGAAGACAGCUAACUAAGCUUUAACUGACGCUGAGGCACGAAAGUGUGGGGAUCAAACAGG